GACAGAGGAUGCAAGCGUUAUCCGGAAUGAUUGGGCGUAAAGCGUCUGUAGGUGGCUUUUUAAGUCUGCCGUCAAAUCCCCAGGGCUUAACCCUGGACAGGCGGUGGAAACUACCAAGCUGGAGUACGGUAGGGGCAGGGGGAAUUUCCGGUGGAGCGGUGAAAUGCGUAGAGAUCGGAAAGAACACCAACGGCGAAAGCACUCUGCUGGGCCGACACUGACACUGAGAGACGAAAGCUAGGGGAGCAAUGGG
rnacentral:rRNA from 1 species